rnacentral:rRNA from 1 species
GACGAACGCUGGCGGCGUGCCUAAUACAUGCAAGUAGAACGCUGAAUGAGGAGCUUGCUUCUCUGGAUGAGUUGCGAACGGGUGAGUAACGCGUAGGUAACCUGCCUGGUAGCGGGGGAUAACUAUUUGAAACGAUAGCUAAUACCGCAUAAGAGUAGAUGUUGCAUGACAUUUGCUUAAAAGGUGCAAUUGCAUCACUACCAGAUGGACCUGCGUUGUAUUAGCUAGUUGGUGAGGUAACGGCUCACCAAGGCAACGAUACAUAGCCGACCUGAGAGGGUGAUCGGCCAAACUGGGACUGAGACACGGCCCAGACUCCUACGGGAGGCAGCAGUAGGGAAUCUUCGGCAAUGGACGGAAGUCUGACAGAGCAACGACGCGUGAGUGAAGAAGGUUUUCGGAUCGUAAAGCUCUGUUGUAAGAGAAGAACGAGUGUGAGAGUGGAAAGUUCACACUGUGACGGUAUCUUACCAGAAAGGGACGGCUAACUACGUG